AUGGCUAAGCUCCACCCACUUGGUCUCCUAGCAACCUACUCAGCCCAGGGGACAGGCACAGUUAGACCUCACUUAGGCCUCUUCCACAGAUUAUCAGAUUUUAACUGGAUUAUAUGGCAGUGUAGACUCAAGAUAAUCCAGUUCAAAGCAGAUAAUAUAAGAUUCUAAAUGGGUUAUAUAGCUGUGUGGAAGGGCCUUGAGUCUACACUGCCAUAUAAUCCAGUGCAAAUUAGAUAAUCUGUGGAAGAGGCCUAAGUGAGGCCUAAGUCUGCCUGUCCCCUGGGCUGAGUAGGUUGCUAGGAGACCAAGUGGGCAGAGCUUAGCCUUCUAACUGGUAGCAAUUGGAUAAAAACAAUUAUUCCUCUCCGUCUAAUUAGAACUUCAUUUUUCUUUUAUUUUUGUUGUAUCAACCUAGAGCCGUGGAUGAUGGGUUGUGUUGUCAGAUUUCGAGGUUGGGGGGCCUAUAGUUUUGUUGUUUUGUCCUGUGCCCUGAUUCCAUCACUCUUUUAUAUAUAUAGAUACACUAUUUUAAGUGUUUAUCAACCAAUCAUGUGUUGAUAAAUCGCCUCCUUCUCCUCCUGUUGCUGCUUGGGCUCCUUUUCUCUCCUUUUAGCUUCUCCUUCCUUACUCCCUUCCAUAGGCUGUAAAUUGUAAUUUUUUAUGAUUUAUAAUAGUCUUUUAGAGUUUAUUGAAAAACCAUGGAACAGCGAAUCCACAAAAAGUGAACCCCGAAGUAGUGAGGGAACACUAUACACACAUAAUUAGUGUCAUAUGACAUUAAUUGACAGGAUCUUAAUGCUCCAUCUACAUAUACCUCUAGUCAAGCCCAUAGCCAAGGGCAGUGUAGGGAUUCAAUUCCCACUCCCCCAAUUUUUCAGGCUAAAUUUUUUUCAACUGGUUAAACAAAUUCCCAUGCCAAAUAUAUGAGAAGUAAAAAUUAGAGUCCCUCCAGAACUACAAGCACUAUCUCAACCAAAUUUGGAUGAUUCACACUAUCAUUGCCAACUUUCCACCAAUUUACAUUGCAAUAGCAGCAAUACUGACAUAGUGGAAGCGACCAAGUUGGUCUACCCGCAGUCAGCAGCCAAAGCCUAAGUCACAGAGUGUGUAUGGGCAGGGGGGAUUUGACCUGGACUGCAGGUGAAAACUGAAAAAACUGUGGCAACUGAGGUGUCUCCCACUGGUUCAUCUAAUCCAAGCCCUGCCAAAGAAACCAUGGAACAGGAGCAAAGAGAAGAAGCUGUGUCAUUGUUAGACCUUGGACUUUAUACGAACAAGACUGUUUGGGAAGAGCAAGUGAACG
rnacentral:lncRNA from 1 species